rnacentral:lncRNA from 1 species
GUUUUUUAUAAUAUAUAUAUAUAUAUAUAUAUAGUGUGAGAUCCCUGGUGUUUGACUGUGGAGGCUUGUCGACAGCUCUGGAGAGUGUCGGGACAAGCCCGAGUCGCGUUGGCGUCAAAUAGACGUAAAACGGACUCCGUGCGCCGCGAGGGCCGCUUAUCGCGAAGAAUUCUGCAAAAUAGCAGCAUUUUCUGCUUGCUGUACCGGUACAAGCUUAGUGGUUGUACCAGUACAACCAGCGCGAAAUAGCUCAACUGCUCUCGGGUUGGCUCUUGUACCGGUACAGGAUCCCGUGUACCGGUACAAGGAAGUAGGUAGAGGGCUAAAUCGGUAAAAUCUCACCUCGUUUGUAUCUCCCUCACCUCCCCUCUCCUUUUAAGUGUCCGAGCAGAGAGAGAGAGAGUACUUCCUGCUCCUCUCCAUCUUCUUCUCUUUCUUUCUCUCUUUAGGUGUUGGUGGAGAGUCCGGUUGGGGAUUUCGUCGCCGACGUCGCGCCGCGAGCCGUCAUGGCGUUUCGCCCGGAGCCUUGCGAGGAGGCGGCGAGCGACGCAUCUCACUGGUUUGACGUCCGCCGAGGCUUCCCGACCGCUAGUCGACGUGGGUGAUCGCGUCAUUUUCCUAGAUCUGGCAAAGUGUUAACGAUUGCUACUCGGCUACGAGCCGUCUUUGCGCUGAAAUCCCGCCCGUCAGACGUCUCAUCCUUCAGCCGCUCGCUAGGAAAAACCGUCGCGAUCGCGACGCAGCUGGUUCUUGGGUCGGGACUUCGAGAGACCAUCCACUCCAACCUAUUUGCCAGAUCUUGUGCCCAGGCUACUCGCCGUCCAACCCGGUCUAGCCCCCGCCUGCGGAUUUCUGACACGCCAAUCGAGAUCCUAACUGUUUUCACGGCUUGGGUUGGCGUCGUCCAAUCGACCCUUGGCAAGGUCCCCAGUCUGAUCCAGCCAGAUUGUUGUCCCUGGUUCCGAGGCCCCUUUCGCUGCCCUGGAAUUUAUCCUUUUGACGGUGCGUAAUCGCUUACCCCCAAAAGUCUGUCUUUUAUUAGUCACCUGUAUGACACAUCGUCCCGAUUUCAACAAAUCCAGUUCUGCUUCAAAUUCAUUGGUCAUUGUAGAAAUCCGAAGACCUGAAUGCGAGCAUAUUUAUCAGCAAACAGACUUAUACAUCGUUCGAAACCUAGGAAAUAGAAUUAGGAGAAAACUGCCGACUCUGAAACCUGCCCAUAGCUUCUAACUAUGAUAGCCUAGAGGUUACACAAAUUGACUGCGCAGUUCAUCGAGAUCACAUUCCCAGCGUACGUCCAGAGAAUACACUCAUUCGCAUUGUUCGCCGAGUGGAAUGUUAACAGGUCGUUCACGCGUCGUCUCGGCCUUGCGGCGGGUGGGGACUGCCCGUCACACGGUUACGUGACCGACUCGCCUUUGGCGUCAAUUGUGCCGAGGCACGUAUGGUUUACGACCAGUUGAGUCUUACUUGAUUGCCAGCUGAGCGACAACGCAGCUGCACAGAGACUACGCUGCAUACCGCGAUGGCGUACCAACGCCACCUCCGGACGCCAGCCUUGGUGUCUCCUGCGUCGCCUCAUCCCGCAGUGCCGAGCUUGCUCCACGGACCACUUCAGCCCGUCGAAACCUGAUACUCCACGCGAGCGCACAGCCGCAACGUGCAUUCCCACACCGCGCGCGCGGUACCGCUACACCCCACACCGACGACAGAUCCCACACCUCCUAACGUCGCUAGUGUCAACAGACCACACCACUCACUCGACCAUGCAAUGCACCGCACGCGAUACAGCGUGUCAAUUAAUAGUGCUUUAUAAUAUCAUUAGUCCAACGCCUUCUGUAGACUUAGUGGGUGACCGAUAUUGUUUUGGGCGGUACCCACUGAGGACUACUUGUUUUUACAGUAGUUCUCACGCCCAGUUGUUACCUAUGUUUUUGCAGAGCCACAGGUUCCGGCUGCUGCACCAUCCGCGGAUCAGGAUCGAGGCAAGGGCGUUGCGAGCUAGAGCCCUACCCGACAGUCAGAGCUAGAGGCUUUCCCCUACUGCAGGUAGUUGUGUUUUGGAGUUUAUGUAUAUAGUUGUUUAACUCGCCAGUGCGAGUAGCUUUGUAUUUUGGAUCCAGCUAUGUAUAUGAAACUCAGUUAUUUAGCUUAUUUCUUUGAGCAGCUCUAUGCUACUGUUUGUAGUAUCGUAUUGCUACAGGUACUUUGACGCUUCGUAUACAGAGAAAAUUUCUUUGUAUACGGCGGAUUUGUCGGCGUGCCCGGGGAACGAGACAUCCGGGGCGUGACAUAUAGAGCCCGGCUAUAGUGCUUGUAAAAGCACCAAGUACUUGGUGCUUGUAAAUUUUUUACCGUUAGAUCUACUCCUCUGAUCAUUUUCAGCCGUUAGAUUUACUAUUCAACGAACCACCCACUCAACCCUAGAGGGCCCACAACAUUUUAACCGCACAUUCCUUAAUUUAAUGGCUAAAAAUGUACAAGCAUCAAUAACUUGAUAUUGUUAAAAGCAUAGAAGCUCAAUUAUAUAUAUAUAUAUAUAUAUAUAUAUAUAUAUAUAUAUNNNNNNNNNNNNNNNNNNNNNNNNNNNNNNNNNNNNNNNNNNNNNNCUCCUCUCUCUCUCUAGGUGUUGGUGGAGAGUCCGGUUGGGAAUUUUGUCGCCGACGUCGCGCCGCGAGCCGUUCGAGUGCGUUUGCUGCCGGAGCUUUGCGAGGAGGCCGGGCGAGGGAGCAUCUUCACUGUUCUUGACGUCGCGCCGAGGUUCGACGCUGUCGAGGUGGGUGAUUCGGCGUCUUUCCUAGAUUUUGGGCAAGUGUUACUAUUUCUACUCGGUUAGUAGCUGUUUUGCUGAAAUCCGCCGUCGACUGUUCAUAUUUCAGCUCGUUCUCCGCGUAGGAACGUCGGAUCGCGACGAGGCUUGGUUCAUUGGGUUCGGGACUUCGAGAGGAAUCCACGAAACCCUCAUUUGCCAGAUUUGGUGAAGGCUAGCUCGGUCAAAUCCCGUUUCUACUCCGCUGCUGUGAAUUUCUGGACAGAAUUGAGGAUCCUUAAUUGUUUAGCUUGGCGUUGGCUCGUCCAUCGGACUUGGAGGUCCCCAGUUGAUCCAGCAGAUGUUGUCCUGGUUCGAGGCUCCUUUCGCUGCCUGGAUUUAUCUUUUGAGGUGGGUUACAUCGGCUUUACUCCUAAGUGUUUAUUAGUCGACAUGUAUAAAUCGUGAUUUCUACAAUAGUUGUUAGCUCAAAUUCAUGGAGUAUUGUUAGAAUGUAAGAUCUGAAUUUUCGAGCAUAUUUUAUCAAGUAAAUAGAUUAUACAUGUUGAACUUGGAAAUAGAAUUAGGAGAAAACCUGCGAUUUGAACCUGUCACUAGUUUUAACUAUCUGAUUUAGCUCUAGGAGCCGUUAGAAAAUUGUACUGUCGCAGUUUCAUCGAGACGAGUUCUCCAGGUAGUUUAGAAUGUAUUUACACUCAUGCUGGUUCGCCGAGUGGAUUUUUACAGGGUCGUUCAGGUCGUUUCGGACUGUUGGGUGCCGUCAGAGUUGACGGUGGACCCGUAUCGCCUUUUUGGCGUCAGAUUGUGCCGAGGGCACGUUACCUAUUGGUUGUUAGACCAGUUUGAGUCGAUUACUUGACUUUGGUUAGUUGGAGCCUGAUUGAGCUCGACAGAGAUACGCUGCAUACUCGGUUGGGUAGCGCCCACGAGUGCCACUCCGGAGUCAGGCUUGUGCUUUCGCUUUGGUGUCGCUCAUGCCAGUUGGACUUGC